UAAAUUUCCCAAAAAAUAGAGAAAAAAUAAUUGAAUGAAAAGGGUUAAAUAAUUUUCAUAUAAUGUACUAAACAUGACCGCAGAAAAAAAAUUUAAAAUUUCGAAUGAUAUGCAUGAGUUGAAUGAAAAGUAAGUAGGGACUAAAAACCUUGAGUGAGGAAACUUUCGGGACUAAAAAGUGUGAAAACAAACUUCAGGGACUAAAACGAAAAUUCUGUGAAACUAUAGGGACAAAAAACAUAUUUAACCCUUUUCAAAAUACUACACCAAAAAAUAUAUA
rnacentral:lncRNA from 1 species